rnacentral:rRNA from 1 species
AGUGAACGCUGGCGGUAGGCCUAACACAUGCAAGUCGAACGGCAGCACAGUAAGAGCUUGCUCUUACGGGUGGCGAGUGGCGGACGGGUGAGGAAUAUAUCGGAAUCUACUUUUUCGUGGGGGAUAACGUAGGGAAACUUACGCUAAUACCGCAUACGCCCUACGGGUGAAAGCAGUGGAUCUUCGGACCUUGCGCGAUUGAAUGAGCCGAUGUCGGAUUAGCUAGUUGGCGGGGUAAAGGCCCACCAAGGCGAGGAUCCGUAGCUGGUCUGAGAGGAUGGUCGGCCACACUGGAACUGAGACACGGUCCAGGCUCCUACGGGAGGCCGCAGUGGGGAAUGUUGGACAGAGGGCGCAAGCCUGAUCCAGCCAUACCGCGUGGGUGAAGAAGGCCUUCGGGUUGUAAAGCCCUUUUGUUGGGAAAGAAAAGCAGCAGGUUAAUACCCCGCUGUUCUGACGGUACCCAAAGAAUAAGCACCGGCUAACUUCGUG